GACGAACGCUGGCGGCGUGCUUAACACAUGCAAGUCGAACGAUGAAGCCCUUCGGGGUGGAUUAGUGGCGAACGGGUGAGUAACACGUGGGUAACCUGCCCUUGGCUUUGGGAUAAGCCCUGGAAACGGGGUCUAAUACCGGAUAUGACCUUCAGUCGCAUGGCUGUUGGUGGAAAGUUCCGGCGGCCAGGGAUGGGCCCGCGGCCUAUCAGCUUGUUGGUGGGGUGAUGGCCUACCAAGGCGACGACGGGUAGCCGGCCUGAGAGGGCGACCGGCCACACUGGGACUGAGACACGGCCCAGACUCCUACGGGAGGCAGCAGUGGGGAAUAUUGCACAAUGGGCGAAAGCCUGAUGCAGCGACGCCGCGUGAGGGAUGACGGCCUUCGGGUUGUAAACCUCUUUCGACAGGGACGAAGCGAAAGUGACGGUACCUGUAGAAGAAGCACCGGCUAACUACGUGCCAGCCGCCGCAGUAAAAC
rnacentral:rRNA from 1 species